GGAGGGGUGGGAGAGCGGCCGAAUCCGCCAGUUUGGAGAACUGGUGUACCUUCUUGGUACCGCGGGUUCAAAUCCCGCCCCCUCCGCCA
rnacentral:tRNA from 1 species